rnacentral:ribozyme from 1 species
CAUGCUAGCGGUAGGGACUAGAGGGGAUAUGCAGCCAUUUGUCCAGCUGGGUCUGCGUCUGCUACGGGAUGGGCACCGUGUGCGCUUGGCCACACAUGCCUGCUUCCGAGACUACGUCGUCGGCAAAGGC